CAGCCGCGGUAAUACGAAGGGUGCAAGCGUUACUCGGAAUUACUGGGCGUAAAGCGUGCGUAGGUGGUUUGUUAAGUCUGAUGUGAAAGCUCCCGGCUCAACUGGGAGAAGCCAUUGGAUACUGCUAGCCUUGAGACACUUAGAGGAGAGUGGAAUUCCCGGUGUAGUGGUGGAAUGCGUAGAUAUCGGGAGGAACACCAGUGGCGAAAGCGGCUCUCUGGGAGUGUUCUGACGCUGAGGCGCGAAAGCGUGGGGAGCAAAC
rnacentral:rRNA from 1 species